UGAUACAAAAUAUUUGUUCAAUACGUUUACAUUUGACGUAUUUUUUCUGUCCAGGGAUUUUUUUUUGCAAAUUAUUCAGCAUCUGAUAAACGUCCAUUUGGAACCACAAUGAUCACUAACUCGGUAUAUUUCAAAUUUCUAUUGCUAAUGAUGUUUAUAAUUUUGUUAUUCCUUUUAACAUUGAACAUACAGAUUGCACAUAAUGAAGAACCGACAUUGCCAGAACUUGUGACCUAUAUAGACGAAAUAAAACAUGUGCGUAAGAUCUGCGGCGAACUUUGUAAUACCUCUCGUACUGGUCAUCCGGGCAAGUUUUUUAACCAAAUUAAUGCAACGGUUAAUUGCAAAGCAUUAUUUGAAAACGAAUAUGUUGAUUCAACCCAUGGAUUGCCACUGGCUCCAAGAAGUAUUCCUAAAGUUUUUUUACAGGAGUUUACUAUGGGAGGCAAAAUACAAGUUUAUAAAACCUAUUUUAAUCAGCCGUAUCUUGGAAAUAAUGCUAAAACUCCUAUCUGGACCAAAUCCUUAAUUACUGAGUAUUUAUCACAAGCGAGGCAAGGAAAAUUAUUUGGUACUUAUGGUAUAUCUGAAACAAAUGCAUUAAGAGAUGGACUUAGACAUGCACCAGGUGUAUAAAACGGACGCAUCCUAGUGAUUGGGUCAGAGAAGCCAUGGGUUGAAGCAUGUUUGCUAGAAGCGGGCGCAAAAAACAUCGUAACACUUGAAUAUGGCAAAAUAAAGUCUGAACAUGGGCAAAUAACAACAAUGGUUCCGUAGGAGUACAGACGUCAAUUUUUAGAUAACACCCUUGGAUUAUUUGAUGCUGCAGUAUCUUUUAGUUCGAUCGAACACUCCGGACUAGGCAGAUAUGGUGAUGCUUUAAACCCGUGGGGCGAUUUAAUUGUAGUUGCUAGAGUAUGGUGUGUAACAAGGAAAAAUGGAUCACUAGUACUUGGUGUACUGUACGAUAUUCGUCAUGAUUUUUUAGCCUUUAACGCACAUAGGUGUUAUGGAAUAAAAAGAUAUCCGUAUCUGAGUACGAAUUGGAAUCAAUAUUAUUUAGGAAAAGGAAAACAACGAGUUCAUGUUUGUACAAAAUAAAUGAUCUUAUUCCAUUGAAAGUUAAUAUCCUUCCGAUUUAAUUCUAAAAAAAAAUGAUUUUUUUUUUGCUAAUGCAAUUUAAAAAAAAAUGUUGUCGUCAGUUGUUGUGUAAAAUGAAAAGGGAAUAGAUAAAAGUAAUAAAAGAGGGGCGAAAGAUACCAAAGGGACAUUCUAACUCAUAAUUGGAAAAUAAGCUGACAACGCCGUGGCUUAAAAAGAAAAAGACCAACAGACAAACAAUAUUACACAAAACACAACAUAGAAAACUAAAGACUGAGCAACACGAACCCCACCAAAAACUUAGGAUGAUCUAAGGUGCUCCAGAAGGGUAAGCAGAUCCUGCUCCACAUGUGGCACCCGUCGUGUUGCUCAUGUUAGUACCAACCCGGUUUUAAGUCUAAAUUCGGUAGGUCACAUUCGAGGAAAAGUGGACGGGAUUGUAGUAACGACAUUUGGAACAUAUCCGCUAUUUUAUAUACUUAGAACUAAAAAGCGUGGCCUUUCUUCUAAAACUUUACAAGAGAGAGGCGAAAGAUACAAAAAGGACAGUCAAGCUGAUAAGUCGAAAUCAAACUGACAACGCCAUGACAAAAAAAGAAAAAGACAAAAAGACAAAAAAACAGUGUACAAAAUUCAACAUAGUAAACUAAAGACUGAGCAACACGAACCCCACCAAAAACUGGUGGUUAUCGCAGGUGCUCCGGAACUGUAAACAGAUCCUGAUCCACAUGUGUUGAAGUUCAAGUUGACAAAAUUUUGUUUAAUCCACAGCAACAUCAAGACCAAAUGUGUAUACAUUAAUCAGCGAAAUAAAGUAAUUUAGUUUAUAUAAUGCAGUAUGGUAAUGGUAUUCCAUGAAUAUGAUUGGAAGUCUUUCUCCAAGACUGUUAUUUAGUAAACAAAUUAAUUAAGAGUUUAAUUUAAAUAGAUGGUAGAUUAUAGAAUUGUAUAAUGGUGGUUUAUAGAUGAGUGGUUUGAUUCCUUUAAUUAGUGUUGUUUUUUUUUCUUAACCUGUCUCUGCGUAUUCCGUAAUAGACAGCAUACAGACAUAAUAGAACUUUGGUCAAUAAACCAAACUGACAUAAACAGGCAAGAUAAAGUUGAAUGCUUCAAGUUUCGAAGUAUUUGUCACGUUGGAAACGAAUUGAUUACAGUCUUAGUUAUUUUUUCAUUGUGUAAACAGCUUUAAAAACAUCUUCGCAAAACAGUUUGAAAGCAUCUUCUCAAAACAUAUCAUGUUAGUUAUUUCUUUUCAACAUUACGUAGAAAAGACCAUACGAAUUACGACAGUGUCAUACUUGGAGUGUUUAAAUAUGCAACCGUAAUUUCAAUAGGGAGGUAUGCAGAUGUACACGAGUCACAAUCAGUUUCUCAUUUUGAUGGAAUUUGAUUAAUAAUUAUAACACUUUAUGUGUCAUUUUUAGAUUUUGUUGAAACUGGUACAGAUGAAACGGAGAAACUGAUCAAAUAGUUGAUGUGUUAUAUCAGACGCUUUGCAAUUAUUGAGUCAUUUACAAUGUAGAAAUUGAUGCUUAAUUUCAUAUAGUCGUAGAACUAUGUAUAUAUUAUACACAUGAAACAUACA